CGCGGCUCGAGCUCCUCACACAUGCGUGUUUACUUCCGGUUUCCUUUCAGCGCAUGCGCAUCCUCAGAGAGCAGAGAAGAGGUCUCACUCUGACUGAGGUUCUGCAUCCUUUUAUAUCUUAUUAGCUCAUGAUGAGGACUUCUACUGCUGAGUUUAGUUGAACUGUUGUACUUUAACUUCACACGGUUACAUUUACUCACAAACAUUCAAAUAUAUAAAGUUUUUUAUUCAAAGUUCAGUUUGUGUUCUUUACAAAGUAAAAUCUGCUCUUCAGAUGUUUUCAGAGAAACAGAUAGAGUAAAGUCCUCCAGUAGUUUAUAAAACCCUCUCCGUCUGUUGAUCCAGAUGAAAUAAAAACCCACUCUGAUGUUUGUUAGAUAGAUUUAAAAAU